UACAGAGGUCCCAAGCGUUGUUCGGAUUCACUGGGCGUAAAGGGUGCGUAGGCGGUCGGGUAAGUCUGAUGUGAAAUCUCACAGCUUAACUGUGAAACUGCAUUGGAUACUAUCCGGCUAGAGGAAUGGAGGGGAGACUGGAAUACUUGGUGUAGCAGUGAAAUUCGUAGAUAUCAAGUGGAACACCAGUGGCGAAGGCGAGUCUCUGGACAUUUCCUGACGCUGAGGCACGAAAGCCAGGGGAGCAAACGGG
rnacentral:rRNA from 1 species